rnacentral:rRNA from 1 species
AUUGAACGCUGGCGGCAGGCCUAACACAUGCAAGUCGAACGGUAACAGGAAGACGCUUGCUUCUUUGCUGACGAGUGGCGGACGGGUGAGUAAUGUCUGGGAAACUGCCUGAUGGAGGGGGUUAACUCCUGGAAACGGUAGCUAUAACGCCUUAACUUCCCAACACCAAAAAGGGGGACUUUCGGGCCCCUUGCCCUCGUUUUUGCCCAGAUGGGUUUAGCUGUUGGGGGGGGUACCGGCUCCCCUAGGGGACGAUCCCUAGCGGGUCUAGGAGAUUGACCAGCCAAACGGGAACUGGGACAGGGCCCAGACUCCUACGGGGGGCGCCGGUGGGGAAUAUUGGAAAAUGGGCGAAAGCCUGAGCCAGCCGGGCCGGGUGUGUGAAGAAGGCCUUCGGGUUGUAAAGUCCUUUCGGGGGGAAGGAAGGGAGGAAGGUUAAAACCUUUCCUUUUUGACGUUACCCGAAGAAGAAGCACCGGCUAACUCCGU